UGAAUACGUUCCCGGGCCUUGUACACACCGCCCGUCACACCAUGGGAGUUGGGUUUACCCGAAGACGGUGCGCCAACCUUUAUAGGGGGCAGCUGGCCACGGUAAGCUCAGCGACUGGGGUGAAGUCGUAACAAGGUAGCCGUAGGGGAACCUGCGGCUGGAUCACCUCCUUUCUAAGG
rnacentral:rRNA from 1 species